CAGCCGCCGCGGGAAUACAGAGGUCUCAAGCGUUGUUCGGAUUCAUUGGGCGUAAAGGAUGCGCAGGUGGCGGUGUAAGUCUAACGUGAAAUUUCGGGGCUCAACCUCGAAAUUGCGUCGGAUACUGCAUUGCUAGAGGAUUGUAGAGGAGAGUGGAAUUCAUGGUGUAGCAGUGAAAUGCGUAGAUAUCAUGAGGAAGACCAGUUGCGAAGGCGACUCUCUGGGCAAUUCCUGACACUGAGGCACGAAGGCUAGGGGAGCAAACGGGAUUAGAUACCCGCGUAGUCCCUGUCUCUUAUAC
rnacentral:rRNA from 1 species